rnacentral:rRNA from 1 species
AAUCUUCCGCAAUGGACGAAAGUCUGACGGAGCAACGCCGCGUGUAUGAUGAAGGUCUUCGGUUUGUCAAGUACUGUCUUUGGGCACGCACGGUGAGGUUGAAAAUAUUGAUUUCACAUGACGGUACCCAAGGAGGAAGCCCCGGCUAACUACGUGCCAGCAGCCGCGGUAAUACGUAGGGUGCAAGCGUUGUCCGGAAUUAUGGGGCGUAAAGGGCGCGUAGGCGGAUUUUUAAGUCUGGUGUGAAAGAUCAGGGCUCAACCCUGAGAGUGCAUCGGAAACUGGAGAUCUUGAGGACAGGAGAGGAAAGUGGAAUUCCACGUGUAGCGGUGAAAUGCGUAGAUAUGUGGAGGAACACCAGUGGCGAAGGCGACUUUCUGGACUGUAACUGACGCUGAGGCGCGAAAGCGUGGGGAGCAAACAGG